rnacentral:rRNA from 1 species
UACGGAGGGUGCAAGCGUUGUCCGGAAUCACUGGGCGUAAAGGGCGCGUAGGCGGCUCAUGAAGGCUGUGGUGAAAGUCCGGGGCUCAACCUCGGAUCGGCCGUGGCGACUCGUGGGCUGGAGCACUGUAGAGGCGGGUGGAAUUCCGGGUGUAGCGGUGGAAUGCGUAGAGAUCGAGAGGAACACCUGCGGCGAAGGCGGGUUGCUGGGCUGACACUGACGCUGAUGCGCGAAAGCCAGGGGAGCGAACGGGG